GAGAGUUGGCCUCCGAAGGUGGGAACUAAAGACGCAAAAGAAAAGACUCUCUGGCCAAGGGUUGGGGGUUUUGGCGUGGGGUGUUGGGCCUCCGCGUCUCGCUUAGUCACUAUCACCGUGCCCUUGAGCAAUGAACUCCCUCUCUGCAUCUCAGUUUUCUCACAGAAUACUGAACGGAUUAACCUCUUAGAGAAAUUAAAUAAAAUCACGUAUGAAAGUACCUAGCAUAAUAAUGUCUUUGCACGGACAGUAUGUAACACGUGGGAAGUAAUGCUAGUAUAUUUUCGCAUGUUGACUCCUUUCUGCAGCUCUGAAAUUCUUGAGGGCAUUAAAACCAGGCAUUUGAGCAUUAACACCAAGAUUUUGGAGGGUUUUCUCAAUCCCCACCGCCCCUUCCGUAGCUCAAACCUCGUUCUUCCUCAUGUAGGUUUCAGCACCAGACUGUUCCAUAGUCCCCCAGCUUCCACUCUCUAGCCCGCCAACAUAACCAAACAGACCUUUAAAAAAUUUGGAACUAAUCUUGUCCUUUCCCAGCUCAAAAUCCUUCCACGGCAAGAGGGCUUACCGCAAGACAAAAAUCCCAACUCUUCUGCCUGGAGUUGGAAGCCCUGCAUGUUGUAGUGCCCGCCAAGCUCUCCAGCCUCCUCUCUCAUCAUUUGAGACACACGUGUGUCACACCCCCACUGAAACACUCACACUUUCAUUUCUCCAGGCGCCAGGUCUUAGGCUGGUCUUGCUGCCCAGAGUAACCUUUCCUGGGGGAUCCUGGCCAUUUUUUCAGGCCUUAUUUCCUCCAGAAAGCAACCUCUGACUCCUGCCUACCUCAGGCUCCCAGGCUGGGUGAGGCACCCCUUCAGGCUGCCAGUUCCACCGGAAUGCCUGUGAAGCCCUCACAUGAUAGUUCCCUGACUAGCUCCAGACUCUCCUGUGAUGCCUGCAGCACAAACUCCAUGUUCUUCAGUCUGGUCUUUGUUGUCUCCAGUCAGCAUCGUCCCUGGCUGGGCACAUGAUGCUUAGUCACUCUGAAAGAAGAAUAGUUGGGCUGUUUUCUGUCCUGGCUAACUCUCUUGUCCUCCAAGACUGAACUCAGGUGUCACCUCCAGGAAAACUUUCCAAUUAUUUUUCUUUUAGUUUUUUGGCCACACUGCACAGCUUGCGGGAUCUUAGUUCCCCGACCAGCGAUGAGCCCAUGCCCCUUGCAGUGGAAGCGUGGAGUCCUAACCACUGGACGGCUAGGGAAUUCCCAAACUUUCCAGUUCUAUACUCCUCCCCCAGUUGGGUCCUGAGCCCCUUCUGGCCCCCUGGAGUGCCCUGUCAUUGCACUUAUGACCUUACAUUGUAGCUGCCUGUUUGUUAGUUGGCCUCCUCUAGAUUUGUCUGUCCAGUAUGGUAGUCACCAGCCAUGCAUCGGUAUUGAGCGCUUGAAAUAGGAUUAGGCCAAGUGGAGAUGUACUGUAAGGUGGCAGCUGACCACUACUAGCAAAUACUGUUUUGAGAAUGGCUGGUGCUGGCCUUGAGUCUGAUGCAGUUCGGAAGAUUCAAGUUCUCAGUGAUGCAGGAACGUGUCUGAAACCACAUCUACAAUGGCCACCCAGCUUCAUUUUGGAUGCCUGAACCAUAGUGACUCCAUUUUGAUUUUUUUUCCUUUCACUUAUUAAUCUUUUAAAUUAAUUUUUAUUGGAGGAUAGUUGCUUUACAAUGUUGUGUUAGUUUCUUGCUGUACAGCAAAGUGAAUCAGUCAUACAUAUACAUAUAUCCACUCUUUUUUAGAUUCCCUUCCCAUCUGGGUCACCACAGACCAUUGAGUAGAGUUCCCUGUGCUAUACAGUAGGUUCUCAUUAGUUAUCUAUUUUAGACAUAGUGGUGUAUAUAUGUCAAUCCCAAUCUCUCAGUUCACCCCCUCCCCCCAUUUUGAUUUUAAAUGCGUUCUUUUCUUUAAUGGGUAACGCAGCUGUGCAGUGUACAUUUGACAGGCCAUAAGACAGGCUGUUCUGGUUAGCAUAAAGUUCAAGUCAAAUCAUGUAUCAGCCAGAAGGACUUCCCCGUACCUCAACGUAUGAAAAUUUCUUCCAUCAUAACUUACAUCUCGAUAUAGAAAAAUAAAAUUAAAAGGAAAAACAAAGAAUGGUGGCCUCUCCAUGACAGAUGGGGAAACUGAGUCACCAAACAGGGAAUGGUGUCACACAAUGUUCUUCAGAUUUCCCUGGAGAAGGGACUUCCCUGGUGGACCAGUGGUUAGGGCUCGGUGCUUUCACUGCCUUGGACCUGGGUUCAACCCCUGGUCGGGGAGCUAAGAUCCCACAAGCCUCUCGACCAGAAUUGGAACCCUACUGCUUCUAAGCUGCCUCAUUAACAUCUGGUGUUUGCUAUGAAAUCCGCAUGGAAUGCCUAAUCCUUCUAGACAGUCUGUACUGAGGCCAGAAGGGACUCUUCAUGACUUUACAGGGCUCCUUGCGGGUGGGAGCUCGGAAGCCCAGCCUUCUGGUUUUCCCUUGCCAGCAUCUACAGCUAGCCUUGAGGGCUGUUUCACACUCAGGCAACUCUUUCCCUAAACUUCUUUUAGCUUCAAUCCUGUAACUCUCGAGGGCCAUAGAACAAUUUCCCCAUAAUGAAGAUAUUAGAGUUUUUUUGUUUGCACAGCGCAGCAAGCGGGAUCUUAGUGCCCCGACCAGGGAAGCACGGAGUCUUAACCACUGGACCGCCAGGGAAGUCCAAAAUGAAGAUAUUGGGAUGAGAAAGUGUAAAGAUCUCCCCGCUUUAGGAUUUAGGAUGUAAUCCUGGCUCUGGCACCCCCUUGCUCUGGGACCAUCAGCGUCUCACGUAACCUCUCUGGGCCUCAGUUUCCUCAUCUGCGAAGCACUAGGACUGAAUUUGAGACAGCUUCUUGUUUGAAGUCCUCCUCUCGGGCUCAGUCAGAUUCUUUAGGGACGCUGUCCGUCGUUGAGCUUGUCUCGUGAAUGUCAUCCCUACCUGCUUCUCCCAGGUGCUAAGGUGGGGGCAGACAUUUCAAUAUUUUGGUCUCUGUCGCCCCCAGGAGGCUUAGGAGAGUUCCUUGUCGCAGCAGGUGUGCAAUACAGAUAACAUUUGUUGCCUCUAAGGUAGAGAAAGGCAGGGACUACCUCAGUCUGGUUGGUUCAUGUUUUUACCCCCGGAAGCUGGCGUAUGGGAGACACUAAACAAAUAUUUGUUGAAUGAAUGACAGAGAUUCAGGCCAGUGGAACAGAAGGCACUUGGAAUCCUUCCUUUGAGGGUUUGUGUUUCCGGCCGGAAGGCUUUCUUGUGAACCCCAUCCCUCUCCUGGCUGGUCGGAGCGCUGCGGCUCCACUUAGGGCUCCCGGAAGGUUUAAUCUCUUCGCCUCCUGCAUCCCGGGAUCAGACUCUCGGGAGGCCUCUCCUCAUAACUCACGGACAGCAAAGGCCAUGCCUGGAGGAGGGGUCCAGGAGCACGAGGACGGCUUCUUCUCUGAUUCAAGGAUGACCAUGACUGGGACUUCCCUGGCGGUCCAGUGGUUAAGACUCCGUGCUUCCACUGCAGGGGGCGCAGGUUCGAUCCCUGGUCAGGGAACUAAGAUUCCGCAUGCUGUGCAACGUGCCCCCCCCCAAAAAAAGGAUGACUAUGACUUUUUCCUCAUCAACUGUGGGUUCCCCCACCCCAGUCAGGUGCUCCUCCCACAAGCCACAAGUUGGCCCUUCCUCCUCCUCUUUCUCUGGGCCUUCAGCCUCUGGCCGGAUGGGCAUACAAUACACCUACACACACACAGUGCGAGUGGAGAAGCCCAAUGACAAGCACGAAGUUUUGCCCAGCGUACAGCUGUCCCGAGUGCCUACAGGGCUUCCAGAAUGCUGUCUGUCUCAAGGCCUAUGGCCUCUCACAUCCGGUCAUCUGGGGCUUCAUCUCUGAGACUUGUGGCAAGGCCUUCCAAUGCCCCAGCAGUGUUUGCCAGCCUCAGCUCAUCUACUGGGCUCCCUGUACCUGCUCCUUCUGCCCCCGGCUGGUCAGGCUUGCCAGGGACCUGGUUCAGCAUGUCCUAGUGUAUUAGGGCAGACUGAGUCUCCUCCUAAUAUGGGCACAAAACUGAUGCCUUUGGGGAGCCACGUGCUGGGAAUCUUUUCCAAGUUGCCAGCGUCCAGCUUGAGAGAUGACGGUUGCAGAGCUAGACCCUGGCAUCUCUAGUGGGCAAGACAACACCCUUUUCUGGGCUAUUCUUGUUAAGACUGAAUGAUCUCCAGCCUUGGGGUGUGCUGCAAGUCUAUGGGUGGCAGGGGAAGCAGGAGAAAGUAGCAAGAAAGAUGCCCUCACCUCCCAGGGCCAUUACUGGUCUCCUUUUCCCCUUUAGCCUUACCCAAGAGGCAGGGACCCUGGGUUUUAACUGCACCAUGUGGGCUUUGUGACUGGUGGGUUCACUCUCUGGCCUCAAUAACCCAUUUAAAAACUAGGGAUGAAUUCUCUCCUCCCUGUCAGCGGCCAGAUGGUAGCAAUUUGCCAAAUCUGCUGAGACAUCUGUGUUCUUGUCUGGUUCUUCUUUGUUUCUUCCUCUCAGUUUUAAAACUGGGAAUGUCCCGGGACGCAUCUCAAACUCAGUCACCUAUUUUGUCCUCACCUGUGCUCGCAAGCUCAAGUGGUCACUUAUUGAUCACCACACACAUCCUACUGUGGCUUGAGGAAGCAGCUCAGGGUGAUGCAAAAAGAGAUGGGCCAGCUCCCAUCACACUUCUGCCCCAUGUGCUUACAAACGUGUAAGAGCCUGUUUUACCUCAGGUAGCAUCGUGUCCUGCACUCGGAACUCUGCCCCUAAGUGUGUGGCCCCUGUGGGAAGGCAUUCAAGUGCUCCAGCCACCGCAGCCAGCACCGGCUAACCCACCUGGGGUGGGUUGACCACUUUCCAGGGGGUAGCCCAAUGCAUCCUGGUGUAUUCAUCAGGGCAGGACUUCCUGGCUGGCUGUGGAGACUGAGGCCAGGAGUUCAGGUGUUCUCCAGACCCGGGUGUCACUUCCCUCCACCACUCCAGCCCUGUGGAGGGACUGGCAUCAUACAAGCCAGCCCCGACUAGCUGUGUGACCCAGGGCCGGUGACUACCCCCCUCUGGCCUUGGUUUUACCACCAACACAGAGAAUGAUACCUGACUCCAUUUUCUUGCCAUGUAACACAUUAAAUCACAAGGCCUGGGUUUCCUCAGCUGUCCCACCGGCUGAAUAAUUCUGGCUCUUUGUCUUUGCUGUGUAGCAGCCGACCAGUCACUAGCCCUUUCUGGUUUCGGUUCCUAUUUGUAGGUAGACGGUCUAUUUUCUUUCCUAUUGAAGAAAGUAUUUCUUAUUUUAGGACGACUAGUUUCUUCUCCAGCCCAGAAGGAUAAAGUGACUUUUUUUGUUUAAUGUGGAACUUUUUUUUUUAAAGUCUUUAUUGAGUUUGUUACAGUAUUGCUUCUGUUGUUUAUGUUUUGGUUUUAUGGCUGCCGGUCAUGUGGGAUCCUAGCUCCCAGACCAGGGAUCCAACUCAAACCCGCACCCCCUCCAUUGGAAGGCUGAGUCUUAACCACUGGACGGCCAGGGAAACCAUAGAUAAAGUGACUUUUAAAGAAAAGUCACAACUUUUCGGACAAAAAGCCAUCCCUUUUGUCUUCCCUCCCUCUGUAUCUACCACGUCGCCAAUGACUUUAUAUUGGCUUUUCUCCGCCUUAUUGCAGAGAAGUCAGGCGGGCAGACACCCGGAACCAUUGUUCGCGGGUGUUUGUUUCCCGCCGGGGCGGAUUUCUGGGGCCGCGUCUGGCCGAGACGGAGGUAGGAGUGGGAGCCGUCUCCGGGCUCUCCGAGUCCACCACCCCGCGCGGCGGACUUCCUGGGGCCGCCCCUCGAGCCGCUUCCCACCGCGCUCGGACCCGAGAGACCUCCGCACCGCGAGCCGGCGCCGGGAGGAUGCCGGGCAGCAGGCGCAGCACGUUCUGGACCACUUGGCUGGAAGGAAUUUCCUGGACCAUGGAGAGACUGCAGGGGCUCCAUAGAAUCUCUUGUUUCUGGUACAGAAGGUAGAGGCUGGGGUUUUGGCCUCACUGUUUACUUGCUGUGUGACCUGAGGCUGCGUUUCUGGGCCUCAGUUUCCUCAUCCUGAAAUAGGGAAUGGCUUGUGUUUCCCAGCCAUCCUGGCCAGGGGUGAGAUGCAGGAGUCUCUUGCUGAAUCCCUGACUGUGCACAGCCUCUGUUUAUAGCCUGAGAUAGAUCACCAUCCCAUUCUGGAACUCAGUUUCCCAAUCUGUAAGAUGGGAUAGAAUGAAACAUCCUUAUCAGGUGAGCUGCAAACUCACCUAAUACGAAGGUAGCGCCAACUGCUCCAUCACUUCUUUAUAGCAACUCGUGCCUGCUGAGACAGGUGCAGAUAACGUUAGUUAGUUUUGAUUCUUUUUUAAUUGCAGGGGUAGGGCUGGAACACAAGUGAGGUGGGAGCCUUUCCUCUGCGGUGUGAGUUAUUGGCUGGAGUGCUUUCCUAGGGCCACGUCCCUAGGUCCCAUUAGGGGACCGUGAGAUGCCAUGUGGGGCUGGGAUGAGGUGGAUUGGCUGGGCCACCUCAUGAAGGGCUUCAAAUCCCAGGCUGAGGAACGUGGGGACUUGGUCCUGAGGGUCAUGGGGGCCGUGACAAGAUUUUGUGCAGAGGUUACAUAUGAGACAGCUGUGAGAAGAGUGUCAAGGAGGGCGGGGGCAGUACUGGAGGCCAAGAUAGCAGGGAGAAGGCUGGUGCAGGGGCCCUGUGCAGGAAGGAGGGGCCAGAGCUGGGGCUUGGGGAGCAGAGGGGAACAUUCAGGAUGAGGGAGGGACAGAACUUGGUGCCUUCUGGCUUUGGGGAGUGUAGAAGGGGGGGGCGGGAUGAGGAUGUUAGAGCUUCAGACUGGUGUGGGUGUGCGGCUUCAUUAUGCUCCUGUCCCAGGAGAUAAGCGAGGCUUUUUGCGUUGGUGGGGAGAAAUGCUUUACCUUUGGACGGGGUGACUGAAUUCAUUCAUUCAGCCAAUACUGAACCGAGCCCCUACCCUCUCCCCAGACCUUUGCUAGGUUCUGAGGGUAGAAUGUUGCCUAGGACAGAGCGGGAAAAGCAGGCAGUAAAGUAGCAAAUCCAAAAACGAGCAAGACCACUACGGACUGCAGUACGAGAUGCGGAGGGAAUGGCCUGACCAGACGGAGCAGGGCCUCACCUGCUCACCAGCUUGAGCUCUGACACAACCAGCAGCCGCUUCAGUGACGAAGGAUUACUCGAGUUGAGACCUGAAUGGCCAGAAAGGGUGUGUCCUUGUGAAGGGCUGGGAGGAGUAUUCCAGAGGGCAGAACAGCAAACACAAGGCCCUGGAAGUAGGCCAGGUGGGCUGGCUGAGUUUUAUUCCAAGUGCAGCAAGGAGGGUUUUACGUCAGGUGAUGACAUGAUUCUGUGGGUUAGCGUAAUUAUACUGCUGCAGUGUUGCCAUAGAGAGAAGGGACGGGGGGGGGGGUUGCGGUGGGGAGGCUGUCAUGGUGAGCUGGGCCGGUGGCGGCAGUGGGUUGGGGAGAAGCAUGAGGUGCUUGCAGACAGUGGCCAUGAGCUCUGACUCGGUCAGUUAGAAGCACGUGCUGUCCAGCGGAUGUGUGACCUCUCGGAGCUCCUGUUUCCUCAUCUAUAAAAUAGGUAUCCGCAUGGCACCUCCCUCCUGGGUCUGCUCUGAGGGUUCAGUGCAUUUAGCGAUGGCUGGCACCAUAGGAAGGGCCCAAUAAACGUUGGUCCUUGUCAUUA